rnacentral:rRNA from 1 species
UACGGAGAGUGCAAACGUUGUUCGGAUUCACUGGGCGUAAAGGGCACGUAGGCGGCUCGGCAAAUCGGUCGUGGAAUCUCGACGCUUACCGUCGAAACGGCGGCCGAAAAUACCGGGCUCGAGGGCGUGAGGGGUCACUGGAACUCCUGGUGAAGCGGUGAAAUGCGUAGAUAUCAGGAGGAACGCCGGAGGCGACAGCGAGUGACUGGCGCGUUCCUGACGCUGAGGUGCGAAAGCUAGGGGAGCAAACAGG